rnacentral:rRNA from 1 species
GACGAACGCUGGCGGCGUGCCUAAUACAUGCAAGUAGAACGCACAGUUUAUACCGUAGCUUGCUACACCAUAGACUGUGAGUUGCGAACGGGUGAGUAACGCGUAGGUAACCUGCCUGGUAGCGGGGGAUAACUAUUGGAAACGAUAGCUAAUACCGCAUAAUAUUAAUUAUUGCAUGAUAAUUAAUUGAAAGGUGCAAUUGCACCACUACCAGAUGGACCUGCGUUGUAUUAGCUAGUAGGUGAGGUAACGGCUCACCUAGGCGACGAUACAUAGCCGACCUGGGAGGGUGAUCGGCCACACUGGGACUGAGACACGGCCCAGACUCCUACGGGAGGCAGCAGUAGGGAAUCUUCGGCAAUGGACGAAAGUCUGACCGAGCAACGCCGCGGGAGUGAAGAAGGUUUUCGGAUCGUAAAGCUCUGUUGUAAGAGAAGAACGGGUGUGAGAGUGGAAAGUUCACACUGUGACGGUAGCUGAACAGAAAGGGACGGCUAACUACGUG